CUGAAAUGAUGAGGUUCCACUUCAUUGGUCCGUGUUUCUGACACACAUGAUAUGAUAGUGGAAGUUCUGAUCGG
rnacentral:snoRNA from 1 species